GUAUAUGAGGUGAUUAAUUGGAGGGCAAAUCGAGUGCCAGCAGCCGCGGUAAUACUUGUUCCAAGAGUGUGUAUGAUGAUUGAUGCAGUUAAAAAGUCCGUAGUUUAUUAUUAAGAAGCAAUAUGAGGUGUACUGUAUAGUUGGGAAAGAGAUGAAUUGUGACGACCCUGACUGGACGAACUGAAGCGAAAGCUGUACACUUGUAUGUAUUUUUUGAACAAGGACGUAAGCUGGAGGAUCGAAGAUGACUAGAUACCAUUGUAGUUCCAGCAGUAAACUAUGCCGACGAUGUGAUAUGAGAUGUUGUAUUACAUUAUAGAAAUUAGAGUUUUUGGCUCUGGGGAUAGUAUGAUCGCAAGAUUGAAAAUUAAAGAAAUUGACGGAAGAAUACCACAAGGAGUGGAUUGUGCGGCUUAAUUUGACUCAACGCGAGGUAACUUACCAAUAUUUUAUUGUUCGGCGAGGAUAUGAUCUGAGG
rnacentral:rRNA from 1 species